AGUGAACGCUGGCGGUAGGCCUAACACAUGCAAGUCGAACGGCAGCACAGUAAGAGCUUGCUCUUACGGGUGGCGAGUGGCGGACGGGUGAUGAAUACAUCGGAAUCUACUUUUUCGUGGGGGAUAACGUAGGGAAACUUACGCUAAUACCGCAUACGACCUACGGGUGAAAGCAUGGGAUCUUCGGACCUUGCGCGAUUGAAUGAGCCGAUGUCGGAUUAGCUAGUUGGCGGGGUAAAGGCCCACCAAGGCGACGAUCCGUAGCUGGUCUGAGAGGAUGAUCAGCCACACUGGAACUGAGACACGGUCCAGACUCCUACGGGAGGCAGCAGUGGGGAAUAUUGGACAAUGGGCGCAAGCCUGAUCCAGCCAUACCGCGUGGGUGAAGAAGGCCUUCGGGUUGUAAAGCCCUUUUGUUGGGAAAGAAAAGCAGCAGGUUAAUACCCCGCUGUUCUGACGGUACCCAAAGAAUAAGCACCGGCUAACUUCGUG
rnacentral:rRNA from 1 species